AUUGAACGCUGGCGGCAGGCCUAACACAUGCAAGUCGAGCGUGCGGCGGACGGGUGAGUAAUGUCUGGGAAACUGCCUGAUGGAGGGGGAUAACUACUGGAAACGGUAGCUAAUACCGCAUACCAUCAGAUGUGCCCAGAUGGGAUUAGCUAGUUGGUGGGGUAAUGGCUCACCUAGGCGACGAUCCCUAGCUGGUCUAAGAAGGUGAUCAGCCACACUGGAACUGGAACACGGUCCAGACUCCUACGGAGGGCAGCAGUGGGGAAUAUUUCACGAUGGGCGCAAGCCUGAUGCAGCCAUGCCGCGUGUAUGAAGAAGGCCUUCAGGUUGUAAAGUACUUUCAGCGAGGGGGCGUUACCCGCAGAAGAAGCACCGGCUAACUCCGUACCAGCAGCCGCGGUAAUUC
rnacentral:rRNA from 1 species